rnacentral:rRNA from 1 species
UACAGAGGGGGCAAGCGUUGUUCGGAAUUACUGGGCGUAAAGGGCGCGUAGGCGCCUUCUAAGUCGAACGUGAAAUCCCCCGGGCUCAACCCGGGAACUGCGUCCGAUACUGGCAGGCUUGAAUCCGGGAGAGGGAUGCGGAAUUCCAGGUGUAGCGGUGAAAUGCGUAGAUAUCUGGAGGAACACCGGUGGCGAAGGCGGCAUCCUGGACCAACACUGACGCUGAGGAGCGAAAGCCAGGGGAGCAAAACGGGG